GACGAACGCUGGCGGCGUGCUUAACACAUGCAAGUCGAACGGAAAGGCCUCUUUCGGGGGGUACUCGCGUGGCGAACGGGUGAGUAACACGUGAGUGACCUGCCCUUGACUUUGGGGUAACUUCAGGAAACUGGGGCUCAUACCGGAUAGGAGCUCCUGCUGCAUGGUGGGGGUUGGAGAGUUUCGGGGGUUGGGGAUGGACUCGCGGCUUAUCAGCUUGUUUGUGGGGUAGUGGCUUACCCAGGCUUUGGCGGGUAGCCGGGCUGGGAGGGUGACCGGCCACAUUGGGACUGAGGUACGGCCCAGACUCCUACGGGAGGCAGGAGGGGGGAAUAUUGCACAAUGGGUGGGAGCCUGAUGCAGCAACGCCGGGUGCGGGAUGACGGGCUUCGGGUUGUAAACCGGCUUCGCUCAUUACGGAGCUGUGUGUGACGGUAGUGGGUAAAGAAGCACCGGCUAACUACGUG
rnacentral:rRNA from 1 species